GCUUGCUGCGGGUACUCGAGUGGCGAACGGGUGAGUAACACGUGGGUGAUCUGCCUUGCACUUCGGGAUAAGCUUGGGAAACUGGGUCUAAUACCGGAUAGGACAGCUGUUUAGUGUCAGUUGUGGAAAGUUUUUUCGGUGCAAGAUGAGCUCGCGGCCUAUCAGCUUGUUGGUGGGGUAAUGGCCUACCAAGGCGUCGACGGGUAGCCGGCCUGAGAGGGUGUACGGCCACAUUGGGACUGAGAUACGGCCCAGACUCCUACGGGAGGCAGCAGUGGGGAAUAUUGCACAAUGGGCGGAAGCCUGAUGCAGCGACGCCGCGUGGGGGAUGAAGGCCUUCGGGUUGUAAACUCCUUUCGACAGGGACGAAGCGUAAGUGACGGUACCUGUAUAAGAAGCACCGGCUAACUACGUGCCAGCAGCCGCGGUAAUACGUAGGGUGCGAGCGUUGUCCGGAAUUACUGGGCGUAAAGAGCUCGUAGGUGGUUUGUCGCGUCGUCUGUGAAAUUCCGGGGCUUAACUCCGGGCGUGCAGGCGAUACGGGCUGACUUGAGUGCUGUAGGGGAGACUGGAAUUCCUGGUGUAGCGGUGAAAUGCGCAGAUAUCAGGAGGAACACCGAUGGCGAAGGCAGGUCUCUGGGCAGUAACUGACGCUGAGGAGCGAAAGCAUGGGUAGCGAACAGGAUUAGAUACCCUGGUAGUCCAUGCCGUAAACGGUGGGCGCUAGGUGUAGGGGGCUUCCACGUCUUCUGUGCCGUAGCUAACGCAUUAAGCGCCCCGCCUGGGGAGUACGCCGCAAGGCUU
rnacentral:rRNA from 1 species